UUAAAUUGAAGAGUUUGAUCAUGGCUCAGAUUGAACGCUGGCGGCAGGCCUAACACAUGCAAGUCGAACGGUAACAGAAAGCAGCUUGCUGCUUUGCUGACGAGUGGCGGACGGGUGAGUAAUGUCUGGGAAACUGCCUGAUGGAGGGGGAUA
rnacentral:rRNA from 1 species